rnacentral:rRNA from 1 species
GUCUACGGCCAUACCACCCUGAACACGCCGAUUUCAUCUGAUCUCGGAAGCUAAGCAGCGUUGGGCCUGGUUAGUACUUGGGUGGGAGACUGCCUGGGAAUACCAGAAGCUGUAGGCA